AGCUAGUUGGUGAGGUAAUGGCUCACCAAGGCAAUGACACCUAACUGGUUUGAGAGGAUGAUCAGUCACACUGGAACUGAGACACGGUCCAGACUCCUACGGGAGGCAGCAGUGGGGAAUAUUGCACAAUGGACGAAAGUCUGAUGCAGCAACGCCGCGUGGAGGAUGACACAUUUCGGUGCGUAAACUCCUUUUAUAUAGGAAGAUAAUGACGGUACUAUAUGAAUAAGCACCGGCUAACUCCGUGCCAGCAGCCGCGGUAAUACGGAGGGUGCAAGCGUUACUCGGAAUUACUGGCCGUAAAGAGCGUGUAGGCGGGUAAAUAAGUUGGAAGUGAAAUCCUAUGGCUCAACCAUAGAACUGCUUCCAAAACUGUUAACCUAGAAUGUGGGAGAGGUAGAUGGAAUUUCUGGUGUAGGGGUAAAAUCCGUAGAUAUCAGAAGGAAUACCGAUUGCGAAGGCGAUCUACUGGAACAUUAUUGACGCUGAGACGCGAAAGCGUGGGGAGCAAACAGGAUUAGAUACCCUGGUAGUCCACGCCCUAAACGAUGUACACUAGUUGUUGUGAGGCUAGACCUUGCAGUAAUGCAGUUAACACAUUAAGUGUACCGCCUGGGGAGUACGGUCGCAAGAUUAAAACUCAAAGGAAUAGACGGGGACCCGCACAAGCGGUGGAGCAUGUGGUUUAAUUCGACAUACGCGAAGAACCUUACCUGGUCUUGACAUAGAAAGAACUUUCCAGAGAUGGAUUGGUGCCUGCUUGCAGGAGCUUUCAUACAGGUGCUGCACGGCUGUCGUCAGCUCGUGUCGUGAGAUGUUGGGUUAAGUCCCGCAACGAGCGCAACCCUCGUCGUUAGUUGCUAACAGUUCGGCUGAGAACUCUAACGAGACUGCCUACGCAAGUAGGAGGAAGGUGAGGACGACGUCAAGUCAUCAUGGCCCUUACGACCAGGGCUACACACGUGCUACAAUGGGGUAUACAAAGAGCAGCGAUACGGUGACGUGGAGCGAAUCUCAAAAAUGCCUCCCAGUUCGGAUAGUAGUCUGCAACUCGACUACUUGAAGUUGGAAUCGCUAGUAAUCGUAGAUCAGCUAUGCUACGGUGAAUACGUUCCCGGGUCUUGUACUCACCGCCCGUCACACCAUGGGAGUUGAAUUCAUUCGAAGCGGGGAUGCUAAAAUAGCUACCUUCCACAGUGGAUUUAGCGACUGGGGUGAAGUCGUAACAAGGUAACCGUAGGAGAACCUGCGGUUG
rnacentral:rRNA from 1 species